AUAAUGUAUGUUAUCUGGCAACGAAUUUGAACUACGUUCUUCUUCUGCCUCAUUGAGCUUGAAUAUAAUUCAGUGUUUCUACAGGCAAGUAAAGCUGCAAUGAUUAGUUUCUAUGAGACGUUGCGGGUAGAACUUGGGACACAAAUUGGGAUAACAAUAGUCACUCCUGGACUAGUUGAAUCUGAGUUGACCAAAGGCAAAUUUCUCACAACUGAGGGCAAGUCGGAAGUGGACCAAGUAAUGAGAGACGUAAGUUUCUUCUUCUGAAUCAGAUAUCAAGUUUUUAUCAGAGAUUUACCUAUUGCCUUAGCAACAUUGAGUUGAAAAUUCUAAACCUUUAUUAAGCUAUUAGAAAGACAAACAGUUUUAGACGUCAUUAAAUUGUAUUUAUUUUCUCAUUCUUCUCAAAGAAGAUACUAGCAGGUAUUCAUCCCGUUUGUUGCAAUUGUUGUUACCAGGUUGAAAUGAGUGUUACUCCUAUACUGCCAGUGCAAAAAUGUGCUAGAGCAAUUGUCAAGAGUGCAUGCCGUGGAGACAACUACCUAACAGAACCACCAUGGUUCAAGACAUUAUUCGUCUACAGAAUAUUUUUCCCUGAAUUUCUAGAAUGGUUCCAACGAUGGUUUUUGUUUCCAGGGCCAGGGCAACCACCAGCAGAGGCACCCAGCAAGAUAAUUCUAGAUGUGACUGGAUUUAAGGAAUAUGGUUAUCCAAAGUCUGUCCUAUCUCCACAUAUAAAAGUGGAUUGAGAAAACUAAUAGAAAACUCAAGCUAGCUAGAAUGUCAGCAUAGUUCCCAUGCAAACUGGCCAGAAUGUGGUUUUUAUCUUUUCAUUUUGUGGAGUACUGAAGAUGAAAGAAACAAAACAAAAACGAAAACAAGGUUGAAAAAAGAGGCUGACAAUUGAAAUAAUAGAAAUAAGUUUAACUUACUUCAGAUUGUUGAUGAUGAAUAAACUGAUUGCAAUUUAUCCUCUACGUUAGUCUGUACCAAGUCACUUUGUUCGAUAUUUUGUCAAUGCAAAGUCUGGAACGAAGACUGCUUCCACCUUUGUUUGAGAAAUUCGUCGCAAGGCCCAAUCAUUUCCGUUUAGAGCCAUUGAUUGAUUCUUCAUAGCCUUUUGUCAUACAGCUCCACGUGCACAAAAAUGUUUUUUUAAGGUAAUAAACAGUGAAAAUUACCAUGACAAUCAAAAGAUUUACAAACUAAGAGCAUCCAGAUUCUCCAGAAUUCUAAGAUCUCAGAAAGACAAAUCAGUCACCUAUGUGAAUCUAAUUACAAAGCCUGUGAAUCAAAACUUGACAGUUUUUAGCUUUCCUAGAACCUGGACAAUUGCUAAUUCCCCCUCUAAGUUCCUUCUGAAUUGUGUGACAAUGAACUCUCUAUUUACAGUUAAUUUCCUGAACUCCAAUUCUGGAAAUUAAAUGCAAAUAGAGUUCAUAAGCGAGGGAGCACAAGCGAGGAAGAACGGAGAGCGAACAAGGAGAUUUACAAGGUGGCGAGGAAAGAAGCAAAGCUGGCGGUUACGGAAGCUAAAAACGCGGCGUUUGGUCGCAUGUACGAUGAAUUAGAAGAGAAAGGCGGGGACAGGAAGUUAUGCAGGUUAGCUAAAGCAAGGGAAAGGAAGGCGCGUGAUCUUGACCAAGUUAGGUACAUCAAGGGCGAGGAUGAUAGAGUUCUUAUGGGGGAGUCUCAAGUCAAGCAGAGGUGGCAGGCGUACUUUCGAGACUAACUUAACGAGGAGGGGGAUCGUAACAUAGAGCUAGGGAAGUUGGGGCAUUCAGAGCAAUAUAGAGACCUUGGGUACUGCAGGCGCAUUAGGCGGAAGAGGUCAUGGGGGCUUUACGUAGUAUGAGUAGGGGUCGAGCGACCGGGCCUGACGAGAUCCCAGUGGAGUUCUGGAAAUGCAUGGGU
rnacentral:lncRNA from 1 species